AAAAAAAAAAAUUUGUGAAGUUGCCUUGAAAUUUCGAGUAUUCUGUAUUAUUAUUAUUAUUUUUUUUUUUUUACAGUGCAGCCUCCACCUUAGACGAUCUUCACAGAGCUAGUGAUUGGCGGGAAGAUAUUAGAUCCUAAAAGUGUGUGGAAAAGGAAUGAGGCUUAGCCUGCGAGGAUAUGUUGGGCCAAAAUCAUGCUGUGAAAAUAAAUGAAGUAUGUGGACAUGUACAUAAAUUUUAAUUCAAUUUAGGUUCUUGGGAAGCGAUCCUUAAUGACGGCCGUCUGAUUGGUUCACGCGUGGACGCUCCCAGCAUGCCCUGCGAAAGGCUGUCAGUUUGCCCGCAGCAGACCGCAGGCUUCUGGCCAAACAGAGAGCGCCAGACCACAGGUACUUUGCCCUAUCGUUAGCAUACGCUCCUGCACCUCGUCACGGUUCAGGUGCCAGACCACAGGUACUCUGCCCUAUCGUUAGCAUACGCUCCUGCGCCUCGUCACGGUUCAGGUGCCAGACCACAGGCGCUGCUUAGCACUACCGUUA